UACAGAGGGGUGCAAGCGUUGUUCGGAAUUAUUGGGCGUAAAGCGCGUGUAGGCGGCUUUGCAAGUCGGGUGUGAAAUCCCUCAGCUUAACUGAGGAAGUGCGCCCGAAACUGCAGAGCUUGAGUACCGGAGAGGGUGGCGGAAUACCCCAAGUAGAGGUGAAAUCGUAGAUAUGGGGUGGAACACCGGUGGCGAAGGCGGCCACCUGGACGGAUCUGACGCUGAGACGCGAAAGCGUGGGGAGCAAACAGG
rnacentral:rRNA from 1 species